rnacentral:rRNA from 1 species
UACGUAGGGUGCAAGCGUUAUCCGGAAUUAUUGGGCGUAAAGAGCUCGUAGGCGGUUUGUCGCGUCGGCCGUGAAAACCUGGGGCUUAACUCUGGGCUUGCGGUCGAUACGGGCAUCACUGGAGUUCGGCAGGGGAGACUGGAAUUCCUGGUGUAGCGGUGAAAUGCGCAGAUAUCAGGAGGAACACCGGUGGCGAAGGCGGGUCUCUGGGCCGAUACUGACGCUGAGGAGCGAAAGCGUGGGGAGCGAACAGG